rfam:Trichuris trichiura, WGS project CBXK01000000 data, contig: TTRE_2755
AAUUCUUCAAAUACUUAGGAGUAGAGUUCAAUCCAUUCGGCCGGCGGCGCGACCAGUUGACAGGAGCGCGGGCGCUCCUGGAUCGUGCAUGCAAGGCAGAAUUAAAACCACAGCAAAAGAUUGGAGGCGAAAGCCCAAGCGCAACGGUGUGACGUCGUUCCUGACUUGUUCGCCGUAGCUAGCAGCACGCCGUACCGUUCGAAAGGGAAUCCGGUUGAAAUUCCGGAACCGAGACACGAAGAUGUACACCCGCGUCUCCGGUGGUCGCUUCCGCGGCCGCGGCGCCUCGUCGCCGCUGUCCGCUCGGUUUGCCCGACUGGAAGCACGCGGGACUGGUGCGCGCGGUAACGCCUCCGAACUCGGCGAGCAGCCGUCGGCAGUUCCGGAAAGAGUUUUCUUUUCUUCAUAAGGCACGCAGUCGCUGGAACCGGGUUGUCCGGAGAUAGCGACGAUGUCGCCGCAAAACGCCGCGUCUCCCGUGGCGUUCGGAACGCUCUCGACGGUCCGUGAAAAGCCGAGCUACGCCGUAUAAAUUCGUGCUCGCUCGUACCCAUAUCCGCAGCAGGUCUCCAAGGUGAACAGCCUCUGGCCAAUUGAACAAUGCAGAUAAGGGAAGUCGGCAAAACGGAUCCGUACCUUCGGAACAAGGAUUGGCUCUAAGGGCUGAACCGGUCGGGCUGAUGCUUCGAAGCGUGUUUGGUGCGGUCGCUGACUGCCGGUCCGAGGAGCUGCGCUUGCCCGGCGUCGCGUUCUCGCCGGCUGGGCGCGAGCGUGCGCGUGGCUGGUCCGCGCCGCGCCGUUGCUGCCGGACGUCUGCUACGCGUAGUCGAGGCGCUUCUUCUGAAGCCGCAGUCGGUAACGAAGCCUGCGCGCGGACGACUUCAGCUGUGUGCGCUUGUCCUGCUCGCGACAAGCCACUUCGUCCGGCAUUGAACAGCCGACUUAGAACUGGCACGGACACGAGGAAUCGGACUGUAUAAUUAAAACAAAGCAUUGCGACGGCCGGUGAUCGGUGUUGACGCAAUGUGAUUUCUGCCCAGUGCUCUGAAUGUCAAAGUGAAGAAAUUCAACCAAGCGCGGGUAAACGGCGGGAGUAACUAUGACUCUCUUGUAACUAUGGCGCAGCAACGGGUGGAUUGCUGGUGACGGGAUGACGGGGCGCAACUUCAUCGCCGCACUGAAGGUUAGGACUUCUCUGGUCCCCACGCGCUUGCAGGCCCUUAGGGGCCGAGCUGAACCGGGUGACCAGAGAGUCCUCUGCCGGAAGUGUGGCGUGGUAAGCGGCGCCUCUGAAUCCUUAAUCCACAUCUCCCAGAACUGCGCCUUCACAGGCGGGCUCAUAGUCCGGAGGCACAAUGACAUCCUGAAGAAGCUGAUGCAGUCAGCGGAAGCCUCCGGAUUCCACCUUGUACAUGAGCCCGUGAUCCGGCUGGAAGGGGAAACCCUGAAACCGGAUCUGCUCCUCACAAGAGACGAUUCAUGCUGGAUAGUCGACGUAGCCAUACCGUGGGAAACCACGGACUCCCUAAAUAGACGCCACGUCGAGAAAUGCCGCAAGUACGAACGCCUCAAGGAGGCCGCUCUUAAGUUAACAGGAGCGAAAACAUUCGGCACCGGCGCAGUAGUGAUAGGAUCUCGAGGCGGCUGGUGCAGCCGAAACGACGAUACAUUCAAGCAGCUACGCUGGGACGUGACAGAGAACUUUAAAAUGCUGCUUUGUACAAUGGCGCUUGAGCGCACAGUCCAACUGGUCAACUGGUUCAUGAGGAGCAGCACCAGGCUGGCGUUCCGAGCUGAUAGACGGGGGCGGGGCGUUGAAAACCGGACUUGACUACAACCGGCUAUGACGCGCCACGGAGUGGCCCGCUCCGCACAAGGUGGCUACAACCAACAGGGGCACCGGAGAAACAAAUGCAGCAAAGUCAGGCCUACAUGUCCGGCCUGAUCAAUCUCGCAGCAGUACUACAAGCGAUGACGCUUCACGAAAGAGGACGACGCACUUAAUGCUAUUCAGUCCUUCCUUUCUAACUUUAUUUCUUCAGUUUCGUACUUUUUGUUGCUCGAAAGCUGCAAGAGCACACACGAUUUUCGUUCCUUCAGUUCAUUUCGUUAUCGCCUUGGUUCCUUCAGUUGCAGCAAUUAUGUUCUGUUCAUCUUCUCAGGUUGCGCAAGCCUUGCUUAUUGCAAAAAUUGCAAAUAAAAUUGAAUAGCCAAAUGCCUCGUCAUCUAAUUAGUGACGCGCAUGAAUGGAUCAACAAGAUUCCUACUGUCCCUAUCUACUGUCUAGCGA